GGGCGAUUAGUGUAGUGGUUAUCAUACUUGCCUUCCAAGCAUGUGACAUGGGUUCGAUUCCCGUAUCGCUCA
rfam:Pichia pastoris GS115 chromosome 1, complete sequence